rnacentral:rRNA from 1 species
GCUUGCUAGAUGCAGUCUAAGUGGCGCACGGGUGAGUAAUAUAUAGGUAAUAUGCCUCUUACUAAGGGAUAACAGAUGGAAACGUCUGCUAAUACCUUAUAUGCCUUUAGGACUAAAGUCCGCAAGGGAAAGAUUUAUCGGUAAGAGAUUAGCCUGUACAGUAUCAGUUAGUUGGUGAGGUAAUGGCUCACCAAGACUAUGACACUUAACUGGUUUGAGAGGAUGAUCAGUCACACUGGAACUGAGACACGGUCCAGACUCCUACGGGAGGCAGCAGUGGGGAAUAUUGCACAAUGGACGGAAGUCUGAUGCAGCAACGCCGCGUGGAGGAUGACACAUUUCGGUGCGUAAACUCCUUUUAUAUGAGAAGAUAAUGACGGUAUCAUAUGAAUAAGCACCGGCUAACUCCGUGCCAGCAGCCGCGGUAAUACGGAGGGUGCAAGCGUUACUCGGAAUCACUGGGCGUAAAGAGCGUGUAGGCGGGUUGAUAAGUUUGAAGUGAAAUCCUAUAGCUUAACUAUAGAACUGCUUUGAAAACUGUUAACCUAGAAUAUGGGAGAGGUAGAUGGAAUUUCUGGUGUAGGGGUAAAAUCCGUAGAGAUCAGAAGGAAUACCGAUUGCGAAGGCGAUCUACUGGAACAUUAUUGACGCUGAGACGCGAAAGCGUGGGUAGCAAACAGGAUUAGAUACCCUGGUAGUCCACGCCCUAAACGAUGUACACUAGUUGUUGUGAGGCUCGACCUUGCAGUAAUGCAGUUAACACAUUAAGUGUACCGCCUGGGGAGUACGGUCGCAAGAUUAAAACUCAAAUGAAUUGACGGGGGCCCGCACAAGCGGUGGAGCAUGUGGUUUAAUUCGAUGCAACGCGAAAACCUUACCUGGUCUUGACAUAGUAAGAACUUUCCAGAGAUGGAUCGUGCCUUCGGGAACUUACAUACAGGUGCUGCAUGGCUGUCGUCAG